AACGAACGCUGGCGGCAGGCCUAACACAUGCGAGUCGAGCGAGGACUUCGGUUCUAGCGGCGGACGGGUGAGUAACGCGUGGGAAUGUGCCCUUCUCUACGGAAUAGCCCUGGGAAACUGGGAGUAAUACCGUAUACGCCCUAUUGGGGAAAGAUUUAUCGGAGAAGGAUCAGCCCGCGUUGGAUUAGGUAGUUGGUGGGGUAAUGGCCUACCAAGCCGACGAUCCAUAGCUGGUUUGAGAGGAUGAUCAGCCACACUGGGACUGCGACACGGCCCAGACUCCUACGGGAGGCAGCAGUGGGGAAUCUUAGACAAUGGGGGCAACCCUGAUCUAGCCAUGCCGCGUGAGUGAUGAAGGCCUUAGGGUUGUAAAGCUCUUUCAGCUGGGAAGAUAAUGACGGUACCAGCAGAAGAAGCCCCGGCUAACUCCGUG
rnacentral:rRNA from 1 species